rnacentral:rRNA from 1 species
UUGGAAGAGUUUGAUCCUGGCUCAGGACGAACGCUGGCGGCGUGCUUAACACAUGCAAGUCGAACGGGAUCCUCUCCAGCUUGCUGGGGGGGUGAGAGUGGCGAACGGGUGAGUAAUGCGUGACUAACCUGCCUCAUGGUCUGGAAUAGCUCCUGGAAACGGGUGGUAAUGCCGGAUGGUCCAACUUUCCGCAUGGUUUGUUGGGAAAGCUUUUGCGCCAUGGGAUGGGGUCGCGUCCUAUCAGCUUGUUGGUGGGGUGUUGGCCUACCAAGGCUUCGACGGGUAGCCGGCCUAAGAGGGCGACCGGCCACAUUGGGACUGAGAUACGGCCCAGACUCCUACGGGAGGCAGCAGUGGGGAAUAUUGCACAAUGGGGGGAACCCUGAUGCAGCGACGCCGCGUGCGGGAUGGAGGCCUCGGGUCGUGAACCGCUUUUACAGGGGAGCAAGCUUCGGGUGAGUUAACUUUACAAGCACGNAUAU